rnacentral:rRNA from 1 species
UAAGCAUAUCAAUAAGCGGAGGAAAAGAAACUAACAAGGAUUCCCCUAGUAACUGCGAGUGAAGCGGGAAAAGCUCAAAUUUAAAAUCUGGUGGUCUUUGGCCAUCCGAGUUGUAGUCUGGAGAAGUGCUUUCCGCGUUGGACCGUGUACAAGUCUCUUGGAACAGAGCGUCAUAGAGGGUGAGAAUCCCGUCUUUGACACGGACUACCAAUGCUUUGUGAUGCGCUCUCAAAGAGUCGAGUUGUUUGGGAAUGCAGCUCAAAAUGGGUGGUAAAUUCCAUCUAAAGCUAAAUAUUGGCGAGAGACCGAUAGCGAACAAGUACCGUGAGGGAAAGAUGAAAAGCACUUUGGAAAGAGAGUUAAACAGUACGUGAAAUUGCUGAAAGGGAAACGCUUGAAGUCAGUCGCGUUGGCCGGAACUCAGCCUUGCUUUUGCUAGGUGCACUUUCUGGUUGACGGGCCAGCAUCAAUUUUGAUUGUUGGAUAAAGGCUGGGGGAAUGUAGCACCUUCGGGUGUGUUAUAGCCCCCGGUCACAUACAACAGUUGGGAUUGAGGAUCUCAGCACGCCUUUAUGGCCGGGGUUCGCCCACGUUCGUGCUUAGGAUGCUGGCAUAAUGGCUUUAAUCGACCCGUCUUGAAACACGGACCAAGGAGUCUAACAUGCCUGCGAGUGUUUGGGUGGAAAACCCGAGCGCGUAAUGAAAGUGAAAGUUGGGAUCUCUGUCAUGGAGAGCACCGACGCCCGGACCUGACCUUCUGUGACGGCUCCGCGGUAGAGCAUGUAUGUUGGGACCCGAAAGAUGGUGAACUAUGCCUGAAUAGGGUGAAGCCAGAGGAAACUCUGGUGGAGGCUCGUAGCGAUUCUGACGUGCAAAUCGAUCGUCAAAUUUGGGUAUAGGGGCGAAAGACUAAUCGAACCAUCUAGUAGCUGGUUCC